GUGGCCUCACUUCAGCAGCACAUAUUCUAAAUUUGGAAAAAGUACAGAGAAGAUUAGCAUGGCCCCUGCAUAAGGAUGACAAGCAAAUUUGUGAAACAUUCCAUAUAUUU
ensembl:snRNA U6 U6 spliceosomal RNA